CCUACGGGAGGCAGCAGUGGGGAAUAUUGCACAAUGGGCGCAAGCCUGAUGCAGCCAUGCCGCGUGUAUGAAGAAGGCCUUCGGGUUGUAAAGUACUUUCAGCGGGGAGGAAGGGAGUAAAGUUAAUACCUUUGCUCAUUGACGUUACCUGCAGAAGAAGCCCCGGCCAACUACGUGCCAGCAGCCGCGGUAAU
rnacentral:rRNA from 1 species